AAACCCAUUAACAGUACGAGAAAAGUAAUCUCUAAUAAUUUUGAAAGCUUUAACUUUACAUUUAUUGUAAACAAUACCAAAAGCCACUGAAUAUCCAAAACAAAAAAAAGGUGAUUUGAUUGAUACAAUAAGCCAUUAGCUGCCAAAUAUUGGAGGUUUAUUAUUUAAUAUGUAAGCUAAUAUUUUGGCAGUAAAUAGCAAAUAGCUUAACAGCAUAUAGGGAAAGCUUUAAUGCCACUUCAAAUUCAUAAACUACUAAGGACUUAAUAAAGUGGGUUAAUAAAAAAAACAAUAAUUAAAAUUAUGGGAUUCUCUUAGUGAAAAAAAAUGAGAUUAAAUAUCGUCUUUAGCUGUUGAACAAAUUAAUGAAACUGGGUGAUCAUCACUCAUUCAAAGAUUCAAUAUUUGGAAUAAAAGCUCUUAUUAGAGAGCUUCCAGUUACCAUUCCCGUAGUCAUAAAUGUGAAUUCAUAUAAAUCUUCUUUUUCUUGCAAUAAACGAAAUGCAGCCAGCUCUGUGUACGUGCAACCACCGAUGAAAAAAACUAAAACACGACGUUUACCUGGUACGUUUGUCUUCAAAUUUUUAGGCAUGACCUUUUCCUGGUCUAAUGUCCACUUGUCAACGUAAGUUCCAGGCAUAUUUUGCAACUUAAGAAUUUUUUCUUCAUUGUCUCUGCCUUUUAAAAUGUCAUAUGCUAUGUGGACUGACAAAGGACCGUACCCGCUGUACGUAUAGGCUAUAUCUUCAGGAUUCUGCUCAUCAACUUCGUCCUUAACCAAAGGAUAAGUGUUUAACCAUGUAGAAUAAGACAAUGAUUUUUGAAGUGAAAUAUUAGUGGAUUGCCGGAGGCGCAAUAGUCCUGCAUCUAUCAAGGCUUGGAAUGUUAAAAGGUGAUAAUAACCAUAUGUUUGAGUGAUUUCCCUACGGUAAUGAUCUAUAUCUUUUCUUCUCAAACCAUUGGUAGUUAUACUUGCAAGGCAAAGUACUCGAAAAACCUCUUCAACAGGUGCUUCGGCAUAGAUAAUUUC